GAAUUACCAUGCAGUCGACGGUGAAGCGGAGCUUGCUCUGCUGGAUCAGUGGCGAACGGGUGAGUAACACGUGAGCAAUCUGCCCCUGACUCUGGGAUAAGCGCUGGAAACGGCGUCUAAUACCGGAUACGAGCUGCGAAGGCAUCUUCAGCAGCUGGAAAGAAUUUCGGUCAGGGAUGAGCUCGCGGCCUAUCAGCUUGUUGGUGAGGUAACGGCUCACCAAGGCGUCGACGGGUAGCCGGCCUGAGAGGGUGACCGGCCACACUGGGACUGAGACACGGCCCAGACUCCUACGGGAGGCAGCAGUGGGGAAUAUUGCACAAUGGGCGAAAGCCUGAUGCAGCAACGCCGCGUGAGGGACGACGGCCUUCGGGUUGUAAACCUCUUUUAGCAGGGAAGAAGCGAAAGUGACGGUACCUGCAGAAAAAGCGCCGGCUAACUACGUGCCAGCAGCCGCGGUAAUACGUAGGGCGCAAGCGUUAUCCGGAAUUAUUGGGCGUAAAGAGCUCGUAGGCGGUUUGUCGCGUCUGCUGUGAAAACCCGAGGCUCAACCUCGGGCCUGCAGUGGGUACGGGCAGACUAGAGUGCGGUAGGGGAGAUUGGAAUUCCUGGUGUAGCGGUGGAAUGCGCAGAUAUCAGGAGGAACACCGAUGGCGAAGGCAGAUCUCUGGGCCGUAACUGACGCUGAGGAGCGAAAGGGUGGGGAGCAAACAGGCUUAGAUACCCUGGUAGUCCACCCCGUAAACGUUGGGAACUAGUUGUGGGGACCAUUCCACGGUUUCCGUGACGCAGCUAACGCAUUAAGUUCCCCGCCUGGGGAGUACGGCCGCAAGGCUAAAACUCAAAGGAAUUGACGGGGACCCGCACAAGCGGCGGAGCAUGCGGAUUAAUUCGAUGCACGCGAGAUCUUUACCAAGGCUUGACAUAUACGAGACGGGCCAG
rnacentral:rRNA from 1 species